rnacentral:rRNA from 1 species
CCUACGGGAGGCUGCAGUGGGUAAUAUUGGACAAUGGGGGCAACCCUGAUCCAGCCAUGCCGCGUGUGUGAAGAAGGCCCUCGGGUUGUAAAGCACUUUCAGUGAGGAAGAACGCCUGGUGGUUAAUACCCAUCAGGAAAGACAUCACUCACAGAAGAAGCACCGGCUAACUCCGUGCCAGCAGCCGCGGUAAUACGGAGGGUGCGAGCGUUAAUCGGAAUUACUGGGCGUAAAGCGCGCGUAGGUGGCUUGAUAAGCCGGUUGUGAAAGCCCCGGGCUCAACCUGGGAACGGCAUCCGGAACUGUCAAGCUAGAGUGCAGGAGAGGAAGGUAGAAUUCCCGGUGUAGCGGUGAAAUGCGUAGAGAUCGGGAGGAAUACCAGUGGCGAAGGCGGCCUUCUGGACUGACACUGACACUGAGGUGCGAAAGCGUGGGUAGCAAACAGGAUUAGAUACCCUAGUAGUC